rnacentral:lncRNA from 1 species
ACGUGACCUGUCAUUAUUGUAGACGAAUUGGUCAUAUUGCUCCUGCUUGUUUUACACGACAUAGACAUAUCACUCAAUUGCAUCACUAUGAUAUGCCUAACCCUCAAGGACCCAAAAUGGCAUGGGUACUAAAAGAUCAUAAAUCUCUUUUGCAGGUGUGCUUGAAGGCUACAAUAUUGUAGUAGAUGCACCAAGCACAAUACCUUAUCGCAUCAAGGGGAAAUUUCGGUUAGUUAUCCUUUUUGACAAAAACCGAAUUGAUAAUAUAUGCAAGCAACCGAUAUUAACAUAUUUGUUGUUAAUUUGGCCUUAUAUUGUUAAAAAAUUUUGAUGUGCUUAAUCAUAAUAGUUAAUAUGUGUUGAGAUAUCCUUGUUAAUAAUUAAUAUCAAUUAUCCUUGAUGCAU